rnacentral:sRNA from 1 species
CGAGAAACGUCGCCACAGCACGAGCGAGCCGGGGAACCACCAGCACCAUCGGGGUGAAUCCGUACCCAAGGUAGGGCGCUCCCUUCCCGCCCGAACCCGUCAGCUAACCCGGUAGGCGGUCAACGGAAGAAGGA